UCAUGGCUCAGAAUGAACGCUAGCGGGGGGCUUAAUACAUGCAAGUCGAGCGGUAUAGUGACUUCGGUUGCUAGAGAGCGGCGCACGGGUGAGUAACGCGUACACAAUCUGCCCUAUACAGAGGAAUAGCCCUGGGAAACUGGGAUUAAUGCCUCAUGGUCCUUAAUAGCCGCAUGGUUAUAAAGGUAAAGAUCCGUCGGUAUAGGAUGAGUGUGCGUACUAUUAGCUAGUUGGUGGGGUAAUGGCUCACCAAGGCGAUGAUAGUUAGGGGGCGUGAGAGCGUGAUCCCCCACACGGGUACUGAGACACGGACCCGACUCCUACGGGAGGCAGCAGUAAGGAAUAUUGGACAAUGGGCGCAAGCCUGAUCCAGCCAUCCCGCGUGUAGGAUGAAUGCGCUAAGCGUUGUAAACUACUUUUAGAUAGGAUGAAACCCCGAGAUUUAUCUCGGGCUGACGUUAUUAUCAGAAUAAGCACCGGCUAACUCCGUGCCAGCAGCCGCGGUAAUACGGAGGGUGCAAGCGUUAUCCGGAAUCACUGGGUUUAAAGGGUGCGUAGGCGGAAUUAUAAGUCAGAGGUGAAAUCCCGUCGCUAAACGACGGAACUGCCUUUGAUACUGUUUUUCUUGAAUUAUGUUGAGGUUAGCGGAAUGUGGCAUGUAGCGGUGAAAUGCAUAGAUAUGCCAUAGAACACCGAUUGCGAAGGCAGCUAACUGGACAUUUAUUGACGCUGAGGCACGAAAGCGUGGGGAGCGAAC
rnacentral:rRNA from 1 species